AUCGUGUCGGCUUGUGGAUUCCUCUCCUCCUCCUUGAGCCCAGAAGCAGCUACACACUAUCUUCAUCUCCCAAGCAUUGUCAGUUUGGACACCUUCGCACAUGCGCACAGAGCAUUCAAUCUGACACCCUCACCAGGGCCAAAAAAACUUUCCAAUCACCAUCGCAGCCUUCCCCUGAUCUGCCCCUUUAAGAAAAAUCAGCCCUGGCGGCUCCUAGCCCUCCGCACACUGACCCUACACACUGGACAAUAUUUAAGGACCAAGGUGCCAUCCUAUAAAGAGGUGCGAGGCAGCGCGGCCGGGCAGCGCUCCCGAGGGACAGGCGGCCGCCUCGCUGGGGGAAGCCGAGAGACGCGCAGACAGCCGAGAAAAGGGG